rnacentral:lncRNA from 10 species
GCAGCCAGGAGUCUGGAGCGCAGGUGCCGGGCAGGCAGCACUGGGAGCGCUCGGCGACUUGGCUGGAGGCCGAAGGUGCCGCCCCUGGGGAACCAGAGCGCCUUUGCAAGAUUGAUGACAAUCAGAUCCACUGAGAGAGGAAAAAAUAUGUUGUCCUGGUGGGUGUGGUUGCUCAUGACUGCAAUCCCGGCACUCUGGGAGGCCAAGGUGCGUGGAUCAGGUUAGGAGUUCGAGCCCAGCCUGGCCAAUAUGGUGAAACCCCAUCUAUACGAAAAAUACAGAAAUUAGUCGGGCAUGGUGGUACGCACCUGUAGUCCCAGCUAUUUGGGAGGCUGAGGCAGAACAAUCGCUUGAACCCGGGAGGUGGAGGUUGCAGUGAGCCAAGAUUGUGCCACUGCACUCCAGCCUGAGUGACAGAGUGAGACUGCAUCUCAAAAAAAAAAAAAAGUUGGCCCAUAUAAUAUACUCAUUGGAAGGCCUAUGCACCUAAUAAAAGCUCAUGUAUCUUCUGCUACUGAAGUCCAGUGUUUUUUGUUUUUUUUUUUUAAUUUACUUUAAGUUCUGGGAUACAUGUGCAGAAUGUGCAGGUUUGUUACAUAGGUAUAUGUGUGCCAUGGUGGUCUGCUGCACCUAUUGACCCAUCUUCUAAGUUUUGCACCCUUGCCCCCAACCUCCCAACAGGCCUUGGUGUGUGUUGUUCCCCUUCCUGUGUCCAUGUGUUCUCAUUGUUAAACUCUCACUUAUGAAUGAGAACAUGAGGUGUUUGGUUUUCUCUUCCUGUGUUUGUUUGCUGAGGAUGAGACCUUCCAGCUUCAUCCAUGUCCCUGUAAAGGAUAUUAUCUCAUUCUUUUUUAUGGCUAUGUAGUAUUCCAUGGUGUAUGUGUACCACAUUUUCUUUAUCCAGUCUAUCAUUGAUGGGCAUUUGGGUUUUCCAUGAAAGUCUAAUAUUUCUUUUUUUUUUUAGACAGAGUUUCACUCUUGUUGCCCAGGCUGAAGUGUAAUGGCAUAAUCUCAGCUCCCUGCAACCUUGGCCUCCUGGGUUCGACCGAUUCUCCUGCCUCAACCUCUCAAGUAGCUGGGAUUACAGACGCCCACCACAAUGCCCAGCUAAUUUUUUGUAUUUUUAGGAGAGAUGGGGUUUCACCAUGUUGGCCAGGCUGGUCUCAAACUCCUGACCUCAGGUGGUCCACCCACCUCGGCCUCCCAAAGUGCUAGGAUUACAGGCGUGAGCCACUGCUCCUGGCCAGAAGUCUAAUAUAGCAUAUUUUCACCAAGUGAAGAAAGUCUUGAACAGUCUAUUGACUGAGGAUAGUAGAACCCUUUAUAAUCUAGAAUCCAGAGACUGAGUCUUACUGCCAUCUACCCUGAAGCAAGACUUCAAGACCUUGAACAUUGGGUUCAUAGUCUCACAACUUAGAAGGGCCUAUCCAAACUCUUUCAAUUGUAAACUCAUAGGAGAUCUUAAGCAAAG